rnacentral:lncRNA from 1 species
GUGAGGAAGAGAGAGCAUGGUAAACGGGGGCUGUGUGGUUUAAGAGCUGGUUGUAGCCGCAGUCUGGGGCAGAUGUUAGCCGGCAGGUUUUGGCUGUGUGUGCUUUCAUUAGGUUUAGCUUUCAUUCGCUCCCCGGUGACGGGCUGCUCUGCCAAAUGAGCUCCCAUGUGAGACGACUGCGGUUCCAGCCUGACGUCCGAAAAUUGUGUCUGGCUGCGAAAGAAGAAGACGUGUAUGUGCUGCUGUGCAUCUCCUCUACACGCAGUUGAGCAUUCAUUAACAUAAAAUCAAACGCGUUCUUGUGGUGAGGGACAACACAAUGCUGUGAUUCUUUGGCACGUUUUAUAUAGCAGACACACGCACACACACACACGCACAUUGACUCGUUCAUACUGCGUCAUUGUUUAUCUGCAAGUAGAGACAGUUUCUUUCGUCUGCGCUCACCAAACAAAGGUAGAUUUAUGAGAUGGAAAAAGAGUUAUUUCCCUCUCUUUAAAUAUAACCUCUCUUGUGCUGGAAGGCAGCUGUGAAAAACAUCUCUGGAAUAAUGGAGGAGAAAACAUUAUUAGCAAGAAAAAGCCCUUCACAUUUCACACUAAAUAUUCCCCUGUAAGCCAACAGUCGAUAUUUCUUUGUUAGCGUGUUGCUGCAUUCUGUAAUUAUGUUUUUGCCCUUUCUGGGAAACACGGUCGUGAAAGAAGAAAUGAGAGGGUUGAAAUUGAAUUCUUUGCCUAUGUAAUUGUUUAAUGACGAAUGGAGCCAUAAAUUGGAGCAAAGAAACGGAAAGUUUACAUUUCUGCCCUCCAGAAGAGAAGGCAAUAUUUCCCCUCUGUGAAAUCAAAUAAUUAUUUAUUCUGCUUAUUCUGUUGAAAUCCUCCCCAAGUAUGAAUUUUAUAUGGCGCAUUUUAUUAGCAGCUGUAUAUUCCGAUGAUUUAUUUAACAAUGAGAGGCAGCGCAGAUGAGGUCGUAGUUAACGAAUCAAACAGCAAAGUCAUCUUCAUCAUAUCCUCCACCCAAGUGUGAUUUCAACUCAGCAGAGGUUCAGCAGUCAUAAAUGCUGAAAUGUCACACAAGUGUUUAUCCACGGAGGCUUCCAGAAGCAGGUACAUUAUAGAUAAUUGGUCCAGCUUUAGCCAUACGCUGCAGCUGAGAGGCAUAUCGCGCUUUCAACACCUGCACAUUGAUUUAAUUAGCACAUGGAUUCAGCCCGACAUCCUCUGAGGAACCACAGUAAUUAAAAAGUGGCCUUUAAGAGUCUGUGUUCAUGUUCCAUGAUAUCACAUAAGCUGCUAGUCUAAGGUCUCAGGAAUGUGGGUAAAUUGAAAUGAAGGGAAAUGAAAAUCCUUGAAAAAAGGAAGAAAAAGUACAAGGGAGAGUGGCUGGCUGAGAGCAAGUUAGCUACAAGCGAUUAACUUAAAAUUAAACGGCAACUUCACAGUCAGUACACGGGGGAGAGUUAGAUAGAGCCAGUGAAAGUCAACUAAGUAACACUUUAUUUGAGGCCUAUCUCUAAAACUUAUUAUAAAUAUAUGUAUAAUGCAUUAUAGUCAUGUUAUAGCACUAUAUAACUAUGGUUAUAAACACACAUAAAUGAUCAUAAUGCUUUACAGCAAUAAUCAUAACACAUUUUAAAGUAUUUUAUUAUGACUUACAAGGUCAGGGAUUAUAAUGUGUUGUAGCUGUGAACAACAGUUGCAUUGCAUUAUCUAUGUGGGUUUUGUCAGUGAGUUGUUAACAGUUAUAACACAUUAUAAUGCCUGACCUUGUAAGUCAUGAUAAAAUGCUUUAUAAUGUGUUGUAAUCAUUGCCAUAAAGCAUUAUGAUCAUUAAUGAGUGUUUAUAACUAUAGUCAUACAGUGCUAUAACAUGAUUAUAACGCGUUAUAAAUAUAUUUAUAAUGUGUUAUGGAGAUAGGCGUCAAAUAAAUUGUUUCCAUCAACUACAUUAAAAAGAGAAUUUUAAAGGAUUUUUUCAUUGUUCUAAGUCCAUGAAAUUAUUGUCAAUAGUAUUUGUGUUUGCCAAAGGGGACGCCAUCGGCCCCUUUGUCAAGAAGCUAGCUAGACAACCAUAACUAAGGCUAAACCAUCAGCUGCAGUACACUGUAUACAUACUCAAGUGGCAAAUUUGACAAAAACCUCAUCCUGCUGACUUUUAACUGUCAAAUCAAUCAUUUUCUGUUGAAAAUUGUAAAAACAGCGCUGUUUCUGUAGCUGUCCAGUCAACACUUCACCUCUUUCACUGGUUUCAGGCUUUAAAGCUAAGAUAUAAACAUGAUCCAUCUUGUUGCUUAUGGUCUUAUUUGCCUUUCGAUACCAUGGAAAGGCAUCAAUAUGAGUUUUAGUCGCUUUCAUAUUUGUGAAAAAAUUCCUCAUAGGAGCUUUAAGACCUACAAAGUAAACAGUAUUUGUGGCACAAAUUGUCCGCGCUUUACUUUGCCAUCAGUGAUGAAAUCCUUUGGGGUGGAGGUUAACAACACAGACAUGUUCUUGUGUCUGCAGAGCACUGAUCAGUUGUUUGGAUACAUGGGCUUCGAAGGAGACAGAAAUACAAACUAUAAAUCGUUUACUCUGGGCAUGAGAGGACUCCUAUAUGAACAAGAGUUUACAGAUAAAAGAGGAAAGAGAAGAAUGAGACUGAAAGGACAUAGAAAAAGUAAAAGAAACUUCUGUGCUAACUCUGGAUGGGGAUCGUUAAUUUUUAUUGAUACUGGUACCAUUAUCAAGACUCCUCAAUGAUUGGAGCCCUUAUAGAUACUGUACUCCUAUCAAGUUUGUUUUUUAUUAUUGUUUUCUCCCAAACUAUUGUAUCUAAACAAGUUUUCUUGUCCUCCAUAUGCCUGCAGGGUGUCUCCUGAAAAAAAAAAGAAAAAAAAAACACUCAUCCUGCUGACUUUGUACAGUCAAAUGUGUCAUUUUAUGUGGAAAUUAUAAAAACAGAGCUGUUUCUUCAGCUGCUUGGCUGACACCUACCCUCUAAUUAUAAUAUGAAGAUAUUCAGUCUUCUUGCUGAUGGUGUUUGUUUUUGUAAAUCAUAAAAAAGAGCAUCAAUAUUAAUUUUAUUCCAUUUCAUAAAUAUGUAAAAAUCCCUCCUGGGAGCUUUAGUUCCUCAUUUUACUGACCAGACCUUGAGAAACUUACAGUGUAAUCAUAUGUCACCUCAGUUAGUUAGCUAACCAGCUUUUAUCCUGCUGAUUCCAACAUGGAUUUCAACAUUUGAUUAUGAUUUUAUGAUUAUGAUUUUAACAAACAGCACCUGCUACAAAGUCUGGAUGUGCUUACCCAGUUGCUUUGAGGAUGGUAGCCCUGCAGCAGCAGAAGCAGCAGCUGGAGUUGGUGGAGUUGUUUGGAGGUACUGCAUUAUUGCAACAUAAAUUGUAUUUUGCGUCAUCCCUAUCUUUAACUUACUUGCAAUUUUUCAAUUCAGUUAAAUUUAAAUCACUUUAUGUUCCCCAGGGGCAAUUUAACAUGACAUGUUGGUUGCUGUAAUGUGGACAUGACAGCAUCUUAAAAGGACAUAACACCAAACAACACAAUUGGACAUAAUAGUAAAUAAUUAAAUAAAAGACCUGGAGUUUAACAACUGUUUUCUGCCAGUUCAAAAAAAAAAAUUAAAAGAUAGUCUUGUUAUGCAUGCACCAUUAUUUUUAAUGAACAUGAUAUAACUUAUCUCAAAGGAUAACGUAACCACCAAUUUUUGAUACUAUCUUGAGAUCCUAAGGUACCAAACAGUACAGGCAUGUUAAUGGUUUAAACUGUUCGCAAAAGUCCACAAAUGUCGAGUAACUGCUGUCGGGACUUGGAUUUGGUAAGAACUUUCUUCAGUUUUUUGGAGUUAAAUCUGAAAACAAGAAAAGCUGAAGGUAACUUAAAGUUUUCGUGUCUCUUUUAAAACACAAAUUCUCUCUUCAUAUUAGGACUGUUGGUUUUUCAACGAUUUCUCAGGAUUCCACAGAUGACUUAAUGUGUUUGUACAUUUGUAGAAAAUACAACAAAACCAAUACUGAUAGACUCAGAAAAUAACUGUAAACACUGUAAACAAUAAAUAUAACGUACACAUCUGUGGAGUAACCUGUGAGCUAGUUGAGGUGGGAAACCCAAGCUGCAACGGUUUCACACUUGACCUGUGUCAUCCACUCCAUCACCUGCUGCACGUAACAUAUCCUCCCUUGGAGGCCCAUUUAAGCUCCAAGAUUUUCAGGUCUUUCUGUCUGAGCUGCAUCAGCUUUGCACUCACAGCCGAGGCAUCAACACCUCGCCGACAUCCACCUGCAGGCUCCAGAGGGGUUGAACAUAUUAUCACACCUCUCCUCAAUUAUCUGUAUGUAAAAUAAAUCUGCCAAAAAGACACCUGUUACAAACAAUCAUCGCUGUUGAAAUACACUUUUAAAGCCGUACAGCGUGAGUCAUCUGACUGGAGCAAAUUAAUUAAGCUCUGCUGCUCAUGGAUAUUAUGUUUGAGUACAAUGAACAUUUUUGUUUUUUUUGUACUGAAUGUUUCUAUUGAAUGGUGUAUCCUCAUUCAGGUCUGUUAUCUGAAAAUACUUGUUACAACACCAUGAUGCAGUAUUUUUUCAGGUCCCAACAAAUGUGUUGAAAGACAGAAGCUCAAAUUUAGACACAAAGCUCUAAUCUAAGUCAAAUUUAGGUUUGAUAAAGUACUGACCCUGGUUUUUCAUGCUUCUCCCUACACACUCAGAACAAAGUGAGGGUUUAUGAUUAUUUUGAGUAACCAAAAACUCAUUUAGCUCAAUAUAAGUCAUAUACCCUGACAAGUCCAGAUAAGCUUAUUAUUUCAAGAAAUUACCAGCAAAAGAAGAGCCUGUAACAAGCAGGGCUGGGAUUCUGUAACUUUUCUACAACUUGCAGUAACUACUUGUGUAUCUAGAAACGCAACAACAAUUACAGACAUUUAAGAGGACUUCUUUCUUGUUGCUAAAUGCCAAGAAGCCAACAAUUGCAUGAGAUGAAUCAACCAACUUGAGAGGGAAGGUCACGCCAACAUCAGCACAGUAGCAACCUAAGAGGAAAAUAUCCCACACAAUAAACACACAAUGGCUGAUGAUCAUUCAGGUGUGAGCUUUCUGGUUUGGUAGUGCAGUUGUAUUUUUCUCCUCUCUGGGUAAAGGACAAGGUUAUUAUGGUGAGGAAAAUUUUCCCACUACCAAAACCCACUUAUCUUAAAAAGGUGCAAAGAUGAGAUGUAAAUCUAAGUUUUGAAGCCAGUGAGACCUGUUUCUAAAUUGUAGGUGAUGUUACAACGGCUUCAUGCUAAUCUGUGUAUAAAACUGUGUCAUCAGCGUACAACUACAGUUAAAGAUCUGGACAAAAAUUUCCCUGAAGGCUAAAGAGGAUUGGUCCAAGUAUAGAGCCUUGAGGUACUCCAAAUGAGCAGCUGGUUUGGUGAUUGUGCAUUUCCAUUUUGGACAGCUGGUUCUCGAUCUUCAAAAAGUCCAGAAACAGCUUCGAUAACCACCCAGAUAAUGUAGGGGCUAUAUUUUCUGUCUAAUGUGUUGUGUAUCUUAAUAACUGCUGUUCUAAGUGAUCCAUUUGAUUUUGUUUUCCAUGUAGGACUCAAAUUUAGCUCAAAUCUGUGUUCCGCAUGAUGUGUUUUGCAGCAUGUUCUAGCUCUUAUGUUGCAGCUCUUGCAGCCCCAUCGAAUCAGAAACUGUACUUAACCGUUGCAAACAGCCUGCUUCUUUCUGAUGCGUUUCCCUCAAUAACUCCACCUUUAAAAAGGACAUAAUCCCUUUAACUAAGCAGGUGCCAGCCAGACUCUGAGCCCUCUCCCGCUUUGAAAACCCCUCCAAUAAUGUGCAGAGUAAAAAAACAAACACAGAUCUCCAGUAUUUCAUGUUUAUUUCCUGGUAUCCCGCGGUGAACUCUGCCUCCUGUACAUCAGUCAUUAGCACCUCCUCUCUGCACUCAGUCUCCUUCCCACUCACCAUAUGUUCUCCAUGAUGCAGUAGAAUUAAGUUACCCCUCCCCUAAGCUCUUUAUUCCAGCUUGAACUUUCAGCAGACACAUUGGGGAACUUUAAAUUAUUGCUCUCUGCUUUGCGCAAGUAGAUCCUGGUGUUUGAUAUUAUUAGCAAAUCUUUAUAACAUUUCCAGGAUCGUUACAGAUAUGAGUCAUGACCAUUUAUAACAUCAGCAAACCUCUUUCAUUCUACAGAUUCGACUAAAUCGCUCCUGAAUAUAAUAAUUUAUACAUCAAAAUCUUAACUGGUGGUUUGCUUUGCCAGAUGAAAUAUUCUUUUCCGCUGCAGCAGCUGACAGUGAGUGGAACUAGUUUUGAAGAGAGUAAGAUGUUGGAGAGACUAAGCACGAUGUGAAGUAGUUGUCUGUUGAAAGGUUGGUUUUCAGCCGGCAGCAGGAGAUGGGCAGUACCUCUUCUGUUCCGACUUUGGCUUGGAGUUCAUUAAAUCGCUAUGGGGCCUGAGCAAAGAGGAGGCAUGAGAGUGAGUGAAGGGUCUGAUUGUGGCUCGGAGGAACUGUGGGAAGGAGCAGCAGCCCACAGUGCCCUUUGGGUCGGCAGAAGAGUCUUGAACUGGAUGCAAACCAUAAGAGUGUAGUAAAAGAGAGACGAAGACACGGAGGCUGAACUCCAGAGAGAGAGAGAGAGUGGCAGAGACAGGGGCUGCAGUAAAAGGGAGGUAUGAAAUAGACAAAUAGAUCAAUUUUUCAUGGCAACCGUUUUAUGGUGACACCUCGCUCAGGGUGGGAAGUUUGAGAGCGGUCUAGUGAAGUCCAUAUGAAAAUGGUUAAAUGGACUAGACUCCUUGCUUGAGUGCCAGCACUCCUACUUGAAAGAGUCAAAAGUGGGAAAUUGAAUUCUCCAGAUCUGAAAAAUAUCUGAGCUGAAUAUUUUUGUAAAGUGAGGUUAAAACUGACCACUUAAAACGGGAAUAUGGUCUGAUAUGAAUAAAAAGGCUCCAUGUAAACACGAAACACAGUCCGACCCAUUAGAAAAUGGAUUUAAUUCUGUUCAAGAUGGUUUAUGGUUUAAUAUUGAGAUUGUUAUAUCUCACCCGUUUGACAUGACAAGCUUCUGGUCUUUCAUCUGCAAAUUUUGUACAAACUUGGCAGGAGAAAAACAUAACUUAGUCUGUAGCUGACACAACUUCUGAACUGGAGACUUAGAAUAACUUCAUGGUUGAACGUCAAAACGGUCAGAUUAAGACUUCCAAAGCUGCAUGAUGAAGAGGAAACUGUCUUAAGUGGUGCAGAAAAGCAGAAAGUAGAGGUAUGUAGAGAAAAAACUGCACAUCAUAGCAACCAUUUCCUUUUUCAUGCUCCAUCAACUAAACAGUCUCAGCAGAGCCAACAGCCCAAGUGGAAUUCGGCCUUGAUUUCUGUCCAGAUUUUUACUAAUCAUUGUUUUUGUUGUCGCUUAUCAAUGAAGAAGUAAAAUGAUCACAAUGUCAUAGUUUUGGACACAACGGUGAGCUAUGAAGCUUUCCACCCACGUGUCAUGAGCAAAUAACUCCAAUUCCAGUCAAUGUGGCCGCCCUCCAACGACUAACGGAAAAUAAACACUGGGACAGGAGGUCACGCUGAUAUUCCCACAGAUAGAGGAUGACAUCACUGCAGUAUUGUGCAGUCUGGUGAUGGGAAGGUGUCCAUCUGGGUGGAAAGUCUGCUGCCAAACUAGAGUCAGUGUCUCAACAGAAACUAGCACUUUUUUUUCCCUUUUCACACAGAUUACUGAAUGUGUGGGUCAGUGAGGUCCAGUACAGCAGUCGUGGUGCAGUUGUGGUUUAUUUGAUCAACUGGUCUUGUUCCAAAGAAGCCACACGAGCAUACAAGAUACUGGAAAACAGAACAGACAAGAACAACAUGAAGAUGAGAUUAUAAAAAAGUCGAUCAGUGAUAAAAUACAAUGAAAUGAUUAGAAUAUAGUUUGUACGUACUAUAAUUUAAAUGUUUCAGAUGCAUUUUUAAGUGUGGGAUGUGCUAAGGAUGGUAACAUAGACUGUAUAAACAGUGUACCACUUGGCUCCGCCUUCUGUCAUUAUAUGAAUUUGAUGCCGAAUUGCUCUCGGUAUUUCGGAGAUGUUCUCCAUAAACCCCUAAUAACUUUUAAAAAUGGAGCUGCACAGAAAACAGAGGACUUGAGCACAAACCAGUCUUACAGUAGCUACAUGUCGACAUCGCAAGCAAGGGAGGAGAAAAAUUUAUAUUCUGUGUAAUAAAUUUCAAAAUUUUUUCCACAGCUCCAUAGGGCUUGCUGGAAGAGGCGGGAUUUAUGACCUAUACUGCAGCCCGUCACCAGAGGGUGCUGUUCUCAGGGUGGCAUCAUCAAGGGGGGAGACAGACGGUGUCCAUUCUAUAUACAAUCUGUGGAUGGUAAUUUCUUCUCACUCAAACAUAAGCCUCCAAGUAUGUUUUACCAUUUAAUCAUCUUACUGCGUCCAAGUAUGCAGGGUUUGAAAUAAUCUCACUCUGCAGAGUCUCCAAGUCGCCGCACUCAUGAGCUGCUGUGUGCAGUUUCCCCCCUGAGACUCGCCCUUUCACCGAUUGAACAAACUGGCUUUCGAGCCAAGUUAUUUUCUGAAGUACUAUGUUUACAUCGCCCCGCAACUUGUUCAGUACAACAGGCCUUACAUCCAUGAAGUCCAGAUGGUACAGACCCCUCAGCUCUGCUACACUCCAACUUCAUCUGUUGUUGAUGGCAGUACUGUCUGUCCCUGAUGUCCUCGAAUCAAGCUGUGAACAACUUUCUGUUUGUGUUCGAGUUAGCCCGACAGACCCUGAUGAUCUCCAACCCCACAAAGACCAGACCAGCUCCACUCAGAAGAAAAGAAAUGUGUUCAACACAAUGGACAACAUGAACAAACGUCUCAGAGCUCAGAAACACAUUUGUGUGCUGAGUUAGAGAUUUUUGAUUGAUUGUUUUUUCGCAUCUUUUGAAGCUGAAUCUGAGUGAACGAGCCCAACAAAGAAACCAGUUUCAGAGUCAAAAGAAAACCCUCCUCUGAGUUGUACAGUAGUGAAAAGCCGGUUGUUAUUUGUAAUCAUGAAGCUGGUGGCUGCAGCAGGAGUGAAUCCAGCAUUAUAAACUUUAUUUUCAAAUAUAUCAUGUAGGAGUUUCAGUGAUCCAGCAGCUGUUGAGUCUGUAGUAAGUAUGGAGCAUGGGUGAUAACCCGAGGCUGUUUAAUGUGCACACAGAGGUAGCAUCAGCUAGAGAGACUGUGUUUUUCUACCUCCUCUCAUACGCUCACACUAGUUCAAAACACACCAUAUAGAGUCUGCCAAAGGAAGAGGCUCCGAGGAGUCUUGAGUAAACAACAGGAUUAAACAAGCAAACAAAAAAUGGUGGUGAGUUUCUGUACGUGUGUGAGAGGAGGAUCUAUAUGAGCUGACAGAAAAACACAUCAGUUUACCGAAGGUUGGUGAUGAGUCAAAGUUUGUCCGUGUUUCAAAAAAGUAAGGGUUAGUGUUCGCCUGCAGGAUGUCAGGUAAGCUUAGAAAGCAAUGAUUUGAAUGAUGUACAAAUACAACAAUGGUCGUAUUUUUGUGGGCUAUAGGUCUUAUAAAACAUACACCAAGGUCGGUAUAGCUCAGAAUUCAGGCCUGUUGACAGAAGCAUGUUGUGCUGAAAGAAGCAGUUGUGUUGUUUGCAGGCGACAGGAGUCCCGGCUCGCCGUAUAUCCAACCCGCUGACAAAUAAAUAAGAGCGAAUGUUCCAUCGGAGGAAAAUAAAGCAGAAUUUCUGCUGACAUCUUGAAUUGAUUGCAGAGGAAACGAGCUGACCCCACCUGUGCUGCGCAGAGAUAAGAGAUUUACAAUGCAUGCAGGCCUCCGUCAGCAGCAGCACGUGGCUCCUCUCUUAUGUAAAACCGAGACAACAGAGAAGACUAAUGCUGCUUUGUCUGUGUGUUUCAUCCUCCAGAUUCAAGAGGGACUUCAGGAGCUGCUCAUUUAGUGUGUGAGAUGGAGUUUUUUUUCCAGAGGUGCUGUGGAAAAGGCCACCUGAGUGCAGGAAAGCGAGCAUCACUGAAGAUCAAAGCCACACCUCUGGGCUUUGUUACAUGUUCAGUUAACUUCCAGCGCUCCAGUUACAGCUCCCUCCCUCAGCUCUUUCUCCGCUCUCAGCAAAGAGAGAAUUAAACCCGACUCGUGUCAUCAUACGCAAUCCGUCUUCAUUUGUUAAUGCGUCAGGGCCGCUCGUCGCCGCAUUGUGAGCUGAAACCAAGCAACACGGCCUGCUUCACGGCUCGUCAUACCGCCAGGGCUGAGGUUCGGUCUUCAAGGUCCCUGACAGCGUCGCCUGUUUUCAGCUGUCGUCACACUGGAGACGAAGAGCAGAAAAUGAAGAUGAGUACCAUGAACUCGUACUAUUUUUUCCCCUUUGGCCUUCUUCUAGUACAUGAUGUAUGUUGAACUAUUUUUACAGACAAAUAAAGGUUGUCUUAAGAAACUCACCUAUUUACAACCUUUUUGCUUUUUAAGUCUGAUCAACAUCAAACUGCGAAAGAGCUUCUUCUCAAAAGCAAAAGCGAGAUCUCUUUGAUUCAAUUUGAUGCAAAAUGUAUACUGUGUUUAUCACUGCAGAGUUAAAGCUCCUGUUAGGAUAUUUUUAUGUUUAUGAAACAGUCUGGAAUUCAUAUCGAUACCUUUUUAUGAAUUACAAAAGCAAAGAAAACCAUUGAUCAUUCUUGUACUGUGUCUUUAGUUGCCUUAAGUCAGUGUGAGGGGAGGUGUCAGCCAAGCAGCGACAGAAGCAACCAUGUUUUCACAAUUUCUACAUAAAACAUUCACAAUAAAUGAUUGAUUUAACUUUAAAAAGUCAGCUGAAUGAGAUUUUGUGGGAGAAAUAAUGCUCAAACAUGUAAAAGACAUGAAAGUAAAAGUCUGCUCUGAGUACAGGAGGCGCCGAAAUUUAGACAAACC